UAGAAGAGUGUCCUGCCUCCCGUUCGAGAUAUAUCGAACUCCAGAAGGCGGAAAGGAAUACAAUAAGGUCCACGUUAAUAGAAUUAAAUGUACAUUAAGAAACAAGCAAUUAGAAGAGUCUCCUGCCCUCCGUUCGAGAUAUAUCGAACUCCAGAAGACGGAAAGGAAUACUAUAAUGUCCACGUUAAUAGAAUUAAAUGUACAUUAAGAAACAAGCAAUUAGAAGAGUGUCCUGCCUUCCGUUCGAGAUAUAUCGAACUCCAGAAGACGGAAAGGAAUACUAUGAGGUCCUAGUUAAUAGAAUUAAAUGUACAGUAAGAAACAAGCAAUUAGAAGAGUGUCCUGCCUCCCGUUCGAGAUAUAUCGAACUCCAGAAGGGGAAAGGAAUACGAUAAGGUCCACGUUAAUAGAAUUAAAUGUACAUUAAGAAACAAGCAAUUAGAAGAGUGUCCUGCCUCCCGUUCGAGAUAUAUCGAACUCUAGAAGGCGGAAAGGAAUACGAUAAGGUCCACGUUAAUAGAAUUAAAUGUACAUUAAGAAACAAGCAAUUAGAAGAGUCUCCUGCCCUCCGUUCGAGAUAUAUCGAACUCCAGAAGACGGAAAUGAAUACUAUAAGGUCCACGUUAAUAGAAUUAAAUGUACAUUAAGAAACAUGCAAUUAGAAGAGUGUCCUGCCUUCCGUUCGAGAUAUAUCGAACUCCAGAAGACGGAAAGGAAUACUAUGAGGUCCUAGUUAAUAGAAUUAAAUGUACAGUAAGAAACAAGCAAUUAGAAGAGUGUCCUGCCUCCCGUUCGAGAUAUAUCGAACUCCAGAAGGGGAAAGGAAUACGAUAAGGUCCACGUUAAUAGAAUUAAAUGUACAUUAAGAAACAAGCAAUUAGAAGAGUGUCCUGCCUCCCGUUCGAGAUAUAUCGAACUCUAGAAGGCGGAAAGGAAUACGAUAAGGUCCACGUUAAUAGAAUUAAAUGUACAUUAAGAAACAUGCAAUUAGAAGAGUGUCCUGCCUUCCGUUCGAGAUAUAUCGUACUCCAGAAGACGGAAAGGAAUACUAUAAGGUCCUAGUUAAUAGAAUUAAAUGUACAGUAAGAAACAAGCAAUUAGAAGAGUGUCCUGCCUCCCGUUCGAGAUAUAUCGAACUCCAGAAGGCGGGAAGGAAUACGAUAAGGUCCACGUUAAUAGAAUUAAAUGUACAUUAAGAAACAAGCAAUUAGAAGAGUGUCCUGCCUCCCGUUCGAGAUAUAUCGAACUCCAGAAGGCGGAAAGGAAUACGAUAAGGUCCACGUUAAUAGAAUUAAAUGUACAUUAAGAAACAUGCAAUUAGAAGAGUGUCCUGCCUUCCGUUCGAGAUAUAUCGAACUCCAGAAGGCGGAAAGGAAUACAAUAAGGUCCACGUUAAUAGAAUUAAACGUACAUUAAGAAACAAGCAAUUAGAAGAGUGUCCUGCCUACCGUUCGAGAUAUAUCGAACACCAGAAGACGGAAAGGAAUACUAUAAGGUCCUAGUUAAUAGAAUUAAACGUACAUUAAGAAACAAGCAAUUAGAAGAGUGUCCUGCCUUCCGUUCGAGAUAUAUCGAACUCUAGAAGGCGGAAAGGAAUACGAUAAGGUCCACGUUAAUAGAAUUAAAUGUACAUUAAGAAACAUGCAAUUAGAAGAGUGUCCUGCCUUCCGUUCGAGAUAUAUCGAACUCCAGAAGACGGAAAGGAAUACUAUGAGGUCCUAGUUAAUAGAAUUAAAUGUACAGUAAGAAACAAGCAAUUAGAAGAGUGUCCUGCCUCCCGUUCGAGAUAUAUCGAACUCCAGAAGGGGAAAGGAAUACGAUAAGGUCCACGUUAAUAGAAUUAAAUGUACAUUAAGAAACAAGCAAUUAGAAGAGUGUCCUGCCUCCCGUUCGAGAUAUAUCGAACUCUAGAAGGCGGAAAGGAAUACGAUAAGGUCCACGUUAAUAGAAUUAAAUGUACAUUAAGAAACAUGCAAUUAGAAGAGUGUCCUGCCUUCCGUUCGAGAUAUAUCGUACUCCAGAAGACGGAAAGGAAUACUAUAAGGUCCUAGUUAAUAGAAUUAAAUGUACAGUAAGAAACAAGCAAUUAGAAGAGUGUCCUGCCUCCCGUUCGAGAUAUAUCGAACUCCAGAAGGCGGGAAGGAAUACGAUAAGGUCCACGUUAAUAGAAUUAAAUGUAUAUUAAGAAACAAGCAAUUAGAAGAGUGUCCUGCCUCCCGUUCGAGAUAUAUCGAACUCCAGAAGGCGGAAAGGAAUAAAAUAAGGUCCACGUUAAUAGAAUUAAACGUACAUUAAGAAACAAGCAAUUAGAAGAGUCUCCUGCCUUCCGUUCGAGAUAUAUCGAACUCUAGAAGGCGGAAAGGGAUACGAUAAGGUCCACGAUAAUAGAAUUAAAUGUACAUUAAGAAACAUGCAAUUAGAAGAGUGUCCUGCCUUCCGUUCGAGAUAUAUCGAACUCCAGAUGGCGGAAAGGAAUACAAUAAGGUCCACGUUAAUAGAAUUAAACGUACAUUAAGAAACAAGCAAUUAGAAGAGUGUCCUGCCUCCCGUUCGAGAUAUAUCGAACUCCAGAAGGCGGACAGGAAUACGAUAAAGUCCACGUUAUUAGAAUUAAAUGUACAUUAAGAAACAAGCAAUUAGAAGA